rnacentral:rRNA from 1 species
UACGAAGGGGGCUAGCGUUGUUCGGAUUUACUGGGCGUAAAGCGCACGUAGGCGGCUCGUUAAGUCGGUGGUGAAAUCCUGGAGCUCAACUCCAGAACUGCCUUCGAUACUGGCGAUCUUGAGUCCGGAAGAGGUGAGUGGAACUCCUAGUGUAGAGGUGGAAUUCGUAGAUAUUAGGAAGAACACCAGUGGCGAAGGCGGAUCACUGGUCCGGUACUGACGCUGAGGUGCGAAAGCGUGGGGAGCAAACAGG